GAUGAACGCUAGCGGCAGGCUUAAUACAUGCAAGUCGAGGGGCAUCAAGGUACACGAAAGUGUAUUGUUGGCGACCGGCGGACGGGUGAGUAAUAGGUAGGUAACCUACCUCAUACUGAGGCAUAGCUGGGAGAAAUUCCAGGUAAUUCCUCAUGAGGUUAUAUGACACAUGUGAUAUAAUCAAAGGUAUCGCAAGGUACUGGUAUGAGAUGGGCUUACUGACCAUUAGCUAGUUGGUGAGAUAAGAGCUCACCAAGGCGAAGAUGGUUAGGGGUUUUGAGAGAGAGAUCCCCCACAUUGGAACUGAGAUACGGUCCAGACUCCUACGGGAGGCAGCAGUAGGGAAUAUUGGGCAAUGGGCGGAAGCCUGACCCAGCCAUGCCGCGUGAGUGAAGAAGGCCUUCGGUUGUAAGCUCUUUCGGCCGGGAAGAAUCGUAUGGUUAAUACCUGUGCGGAUGACGGUACCGGCAUAAGAAGACACCGGCUAACU
rnacentral:rRNA from 1 species